UGUAGGGUAGCCUAGUGGACAUGGCACCUGCCCGGUAAGCAGAAGGUUGUGGGCUCGAUUCCCGCCCCUGGACAC
rnacentral:tRNA from 1 species